CUUCUUCAGAUGGUAUGUGUUGUUCAGUAUCCAGAUAGAGUGAGACAAGGAACUAGGAACAAAGAUUUGAAAUAUUACAGUACCUUUCCCAACGAUUUUCCACACUGUGUUUUCUUUUUGACUGCUGGGGAAAACUGAGCUGACAUUUUGAGAGAUGAUCAUUGGACUUUAGUUGCAACUUUGCUAAUUCAUGUUACAUAUGUGACAUUGCCCAAUUGCAGAAGGAUAUGGCCA